rnacentral:rRNA from 1 species
AGGACUAACGCUGGCGGCGUGCCUAACACAUGCAAGUCGAACGAAGUAGCAAUACUUAGUGGCAGACGGGUGAGUAACACGUAGUCAACCUGCCCUUCAAUGGGGGAUAACUAGCCGAAAGGUUAGCUAAUACCGCAUACGAUCUCUGAGUGGCAUCACUCGGCGAUGAAAGGAGUAAUCCGUUGAAGGAGGGGACUGCGUCCCAUUAGUUAGUUGGUGGGGUAAUGGCCUACCAAGACUCCGAUGGGUAGCUGGCUUGAGAGAGCGACCAGCCACACUGGAACUGAGACACGGUCCAGACUCCUACGGAGGCAGCAGUGAGGAAUUUUUCCGCAAUGGGGGAAACCCUGACGGAGCGACGCCGCGUGUGGGAAGAAGGCCUUCGGGUCGUAAACCACUGUCGAGGGGGACGAGUAUUGACGGUACCCCUGGAGGAAGCCCCGGCUAACUACGUGCCAGCAGCCGC